rnacentral:rRNA from 1 species
AUGCCGUGCGCGCGACGAGCAGCGGCGGUCGCGGAGGCGAGGAGGUCACGGAGUACCUGCGUGGUUGCGCAGAGGCCGCGGCAGCUCGGCGCGACGGCACGGAGACACGGCACGACGGCGCACAGAGCUGCGGGUUUCGGCAGCAACAGCGAGUGGCACUCGACGGGGCGCAGCGCGGCGGUAGCUGCAUCGGCGGCGGUGCACGACAGCGGCCGGCGAGGUGGCCUUGUUGCACGGCAUCUGCGGCGGCUCGUGCUGAAAGCACACGGUGGCAUCGGGCGGCAGCAACCAUGGCGACGAGCUUGUCGCUUCGGGCGCGUGUAUGGGCGCCCGCCGAGUGCGCUGGGCGCGUCGGGUCCACGGUGGAUCGUGCGUGUGGUGUGCACGGGCGUGUCCGUGCACGAGUGCAGCUUGUGUGCGUUCUGUUGA